UAAUCGGUCCUUUUUAGGGCCACCAAUUUUCUCACGAAAGAGUUCU
rfam:Culex pipiens quinquefasciatus supercont3.115 genomic scaffold, whole genome shotgun sequence.